UCUUCCUGAUGGUCAGAACCUGUGAGGU
rnacentral:piRNA from 1 species